ensembl:lncRNA
CUGGUUGGUGUCUUUGGUAAAACUGGGGCUGGAAAGAGUUCUCUGAUAAAUGCCAUCAUUGAAGAGAAGAACCUUUUGCCUUCUGGAAGUGUCAGUGCAUGCACCUCAGUCAUGAUCAAAGUGGAGGCUAACAUGCAAGGCUCUAACUAUGAGGCAGACAUUGAGUUCAUCACAGCAGAGGAGUGGAAAGAUGAGUUGUGGUCAUCUCAUCAGUUUCUUGGGGAUAAUAAAGACUGUGAAAUGGAUGUUGAUAAUGACUAUCGUGACAUCAGUGAAAAGUUUUCAGCGCUCUAUGGAGAAGAAUGGAGAGGAAAGUCCUCUGAAGAUCUCAUGGAUGGAAAAUAUUUCAGAGAAAUUCCAGAAUUUCUCCAAGGCAGGAGGAAGAUUUUGUCAUGUGAAUCAGCUAAAGAACUCUCUGCAAGAUGUGUCAAAUACACAAGAAGUG